rnacentral:misc_RNA from 1 species
GAUGAAGAACGUAGCGAAAUGCGAUAAGUAAUGUGAAUUGCAGAAUUCAGUGAAUCAUCGAAUCUUUGAACGCAUCUUGCGCUCCUUGGUAUUCUGAGGAGCAUGCCUGUUUGAGUGUCAUUAAAUUCUCAACUACACUGACUUUGAAUUGGUGUGGCUUGGAUUUGGGGGGAAAAUUGUUGUGGGCUUUUUGUAUAGUCUGCUCCCCUGAAAUUGAUUAGCGGUACCUUUGUGGAACUGUCUACAGGUGUGAUAAUUAUCUACAUCUUAGACAUCUGCUGGAAUGCUGCUUUCUAAACCUUACUUGUAUUGACAAUCUUGACCUCGAAUCAGGUAGGACUACCCGCUGAACUUAAGCAUAUCAAUAAGCGGAGGA